rnacentral:lncRNA from 1 species
CAAUGUAGCCACUUCAUACUGGGGACCUUGUCUGGGAUACCAAGGUACAGCAUUCAUCAAAAAGGUGAGUAGAGGAGCAGACUUGAACUCUGUCCUUUCAUUUUGGGGCUCUCAGCCUCCAUUUUAGGACCAAAUGAAAUCAAUAGCAGGCAUUCAUCAGCCAAUUAAAAACAUGGUUAGUGUGGCUGCCGCUCUUAAAGACUUAGAUGUGGGGCUUAUUGGAGAGAACAUGGAGCAUCCCCCAGCAACCACAGGUUGCUGGGCAUGUUGGCCAUGUUUGAACCAGCUUCCUUUCGUGGAGGACUUAGCUGUCACAUGGGACUGGAAGAGAUUUUGGAGCAACUGAGGAUUUCUGGCUGGAGCUACCCCCUGGUGUUAUCUAAAGGCUUCUGGACUGACCCCAGCCUUUGACUGCCCGAUGGGAUGUCGGCAACAGGAUCUCCAACUUUCCUAUCGUAAUUUCCUCCUUCCCUGUCUGUGACCACCAUAUAUCCUAUCUUCUCUGUGUAUGCAAUGUGUGGGAUGUUUUACAGUUCAGGGAAGUAAUCUUGUUUGGCAAGAUCAGGGAAUGUCAUAGUAAAUGGGGAUAU